rnacentral:rRNA from 2 species
AGAGUUUGAUCCUGGCUCAGAUUGAACGCUGGCGGCAGGCCUAACACAUGCAAGUCGAGCGGAUGAAGGGAGCUUGCUCCCUGAUUCAGCGGCGGACGGGUGAGUAAUGCCUAGGAAUCUGCCUGGUAGUGGGGGACAACGUCUCGAAAGGGACGCUAAUACCGCAUACGUCCUACGGGAGAAAGCAGGGGACCUUCGGGCCUUGCGCUAUCAGAUGAGCCUAGGUCGGAUUAGCUAGUUGGUGAGGUAAUGGCUCACCAAGGCGACGAUCCGUAACUGGUCUGAGAGGAUGAUCAGUCACACUGGAACUGAGACACGGUCCAGACUCCUACGGGAGGCAGCAGUGGGGAAUAUUGGACAAUGGGCGAAAGCCUGAUCCAGCCAUGCCGCGUGUGUGAAGAAGGUCUUCGGAUUGUAAAGCACUUUAAGUUGGGAGGAAGGGCAUUAACCUAAUACGUUAGUGUUUUGACGUUACCGACAGAAUAAGCACCGGCUAACUCUGUGCCAGCAGCCGCGGUAAUAC